CCCGCAGAUCAUACCAAGAAAGACGCUGGUGAUUCUAUGAUGACGAAGUUUGAAGCCGUGCAGCCCAAGGAGGAGAGUGACUAAUUUCUCAGACUUCAGUGCUGCUACAAAAACACUGCUGGGAUUUGUGUUUUCUGGCAGGGAGAAUUUGCAAGUGAUGACACUGGAUAUUUAGCUGAAGAGAUUUCUAAGCAAAGUUUGGAGUAGC